AAUGCAAAAAGGCUAUACAUGCAUUCAACACAGGUGGUACUGCACACUGAGCUUUGCACUUGCUAUAAAUCAUUCAAUAUAGAUAUUGCUCCUGGCAUACUAUCAAUGCAUUCAUAAACACACAGGUGGUUCACAGAAUAUAUUACUUUGGGUUUGUUUUUCCAACGUUACUACUGUACUCUGUGUCAUCGUCUUCUUUAAACCUGAUGGAGGAGGCUGUGUUCACCAAUCAGAGCUCAGCACCGUCACGUUUAGCCUAUCAAUCUUCUGGUCUGUGCACAGAGAACCCUGACUGGCUGAUCGAAGAACAGCAUGGUCUUUAUAAAGAACUCAAACUCCAACCCCCUUUCAGACUGACCAACCAUCACCGUAUGUCUUAGCAGUUCUCUAUUCAAUAUGAUAUCCAUAGCCAAGUAACCAACAACCAACCACCUUUUGUUGACUGCUUGGUCAGUGUUCUUGGCCGAUGGUUCCAGUGCUGGGAAUGUCUCUGAACUGUUUCAGUUGCACUAACAACACUCCACCUCGCCAUGUUGUGCUGUUUGCAUGUGGAGGAGGUUGCUUUAUUUAGCUGAUUCUUCGUUUUUUUUGUUCAUCUAACCGAUGGCAUUUGUAACUGUGUCUUCCUACAAAAAAAGACUUCACUGCAAAGCAUGACUUGCUGCAUGACUCGCAUUGUUAAACAUACAUUCAUUUCAGUACUGUUUGGCCCUGCAGCUUGCCUUAGGCUAGCUUACUGUAUAGUACUGUGAACUCCAUUGCUGAAUAUCAAAGGCAGACAUAACUUUGAGGCCUGUGAAUUAGUAAUCAAUGUAAAUGUUUUAAAUAGAUACACAGGACAUGAUACACAGGACAUGCACAGAUACACAGGACAUGUAGGAUGACCUUCUGUCACUAAUUGGAAACUAGCAGUGCCAAAGCUCUCAACCACUGUGCUCACAUCUUCAGUGAGUUUAACAUAACUAAUCACAUCCUAUCAGUGUCAUCUUAAUAUACAGUAUGAUGAUGAUGAUCUUGCUGUUAACUGCUGCCAGAGUUCCUCCUGUGACUAUAUGGGACUAACUGGCAUUCGUGCCCAGUCUCUUGCAUGCAACAAGACAGUGUUAGCCUGUAUUCAAGCCUCGGCAUUAGUUUGGGUAGCUAACGUGAGUCUUCAGGUCUUUGGCAAGGUUACCAAUCCUGUGAGUGGGGUUCACUAAACCAGCUUCAGUACAUUUAUAUGUAGUUCAUUAUCAGUCUUAAGUGAGGUCUCCACGGUUCAGUGUUCCCAUUGGGCUACAUAACGCUACAUUGGGGUACAUAAUGGCUGCAUUGUGCUACAAAUUCCGCAGAUGGCUACAAACAUAGACAGCCGCAACACUGCACUCAAUUAAUUAUGUAGUAAAAGAGCAAAAAAUCAUAUCUCUGCUGUAACUGCCUGCGAAUACAAUGCGUGAACAAAAUCCAACCAAUAUCGUGAUCGUGUUACAUUAGGCUACAUUUUGAUGAUUUGUUCAUGCUGCAAUCUGAAGGAAACUACGACUUAUGAAUGUUACCAUGUUUAUCUUUCACCAUACACAACAUGGAAUGUGGAGGGUCUUCACUUACAGACAAUAUUAGCAAUAAUUAUGAAUAGUAUAAUUACGAUCCUGGACAGAUAUUAAUUGUAGUCAACAGAAGCACACUACGUAAAGCCAAUAUGUAUAGUGCUUUAUGACUUGUCAUAUGCAUAUAUGACCCUUCAAAAUGUGUUGUUAUAGGCUAUGUUAUGCAUUUAUAUUAAGCAUUUCUUUCUGAAAAUAGCUGUUAUGUAUUAAGGAUCACUAUGAGAUAAGACAUUGUAAGGAUCAUAUGCAUAUUGCAAGUCUUAUAAUGCAUUAUAACAACAUCAUGCAUUAUCCGUUUUGGCGUUAAGUAAAGUGGUACCCUGUAACCUAUACAGUUAUGAUUGUUUACUGCUCACCCGAAUGACCCCUAUUGGUGUCAAUGUGUUACUAUUUUCUAGUAAAUUGGAAACAAAUGCACACACUUUACUUAAACAUACCUUAACUUUGGCCUAGAUUCACGGUCUCCCUGAUACAGAGAAGUGAACAUGAAGAGAGGAUAGCUUGUUUAUUUUUUAACACAUUUAGCUUGACAUAUGGUAUAGUAAUGUUUAAUGGGCCAAUGCCUGAGUAAGGGGGUGUUGUUUGAACGAGAAAAAAUGAGGCUGUACUCUAUGCAUUAUAAUGCUCAAAUGUUUCUAAAUAUUAUAGCAUGCUUUUGUUAAGUGUCCCAAUAUGGCCACCGUGGGCAACUACAACAAUGAUGUCAUUUGGUUGGUGCAUAUUGAUGUAAUGUAACUUUAUUCUUCAAUAUGUUUCCAUCUGAAAUCACAUCAUCAAAUGUACAUCAAUAAUGCAUUUACCACACUUAUAUGGAAACUUGAUGUACAUUCUCAUGCCAGCUGCUUUGAUGCAUGUGUGCAAUAUUUGAUGAUAAACUUUUAGAAGUAUUUAUUCUUGGCUUAGUGUGUUCGCCUGCAUUAAUGGGUGAUCCCUAUGUGUUGGGUUUUAUUACUGUGAUGACAUCACAGAGGGGAAGGGUUGUUUAGAACAUCAAUUGAUAGAGAGCUCUGAUGGAUAGCAUCACGAUUGGAUCAUUUGGGUCUCUCAAAGUUUUCUCCUAGGUUCCUCCCCCUUAUCUACAUUGAUUGGAAAGACUUGACAGUUAAAACCUUAUGGUGGACGCUGGUCAUUAGGCUAUCUUUAACCUGGUCAGUUCUUUCAGAUCAGUGUAAUAAACUAGAGGAAGCUAUGAGAGAACUGACAUUUUAGACAAUUGAGAAAGAGCCUACCAGCUAUUCGGUUAGGAAUAGGGUGCGAUUUGGUAUGCAAACUUCCAUGCAUGAGCCUGGUCAGUAAAACCUGAUCAUCACCAACACCUUGUUUAACGGCCCAGACUCCCUGAGCACCAAAAAACCCUUAAACUUGAUUCUCUGUUGCACUCCUUAAAACAUGUGAGCGUGAUUACUUCAGACCAGUUUAAACAACAUUAAACUAUUUUUGUGGUCAGCUCAGGGUUCCUGCCUAGUGGCACUAUGUAUGUACAUACUACUUUGGAAUGUCAUAGUGAGAGAGAGAGAGUGAGAGAGAGAGAGAGAGAGAGAGAGAGAAUAUUGUUUACACUUUACUUUAAGGGUACCAACAGUAUAUAAGGACUUUAACACAUUCAUAAUGAAAAUAUUUUUUGACCUACUGUAGUUGUCAUAAGCAUUUAGUAAAGGUACUGUAUAUGUGCUGUAUAUGGGUUAUGCAUAUUAUUAUGAAGUGCUUAUGUAGAUACCCUUCAAGUAAAGUGUUACUAAAAGAUCCAACAUUAAUAUAAAUAUAUCAUGAGGACAGUAAUGUCACGAUACUCAUACGUUCCCUGUAAUGAUACUGUACAUGUAAUUAUUGUAAGCACAAAUGAGAGUAUUUGUAAUGAUAUGUAAAAUACUAUUUAUAAUAAAUAUUUU
ensembl:lncRNA